AAGAGGAUGCAAUAGCACGAGGAUGCAUGGGACAUGGUUGCUGAAAUUUGCCUUUCUCAGCGUCCAUCGUUGGUUGAGGAUCGUAAUGCAGAGUUCCAGGUAUGAUCAUGGGUGCAGCAGCUUCAACUGAAAAGUACUUGUGCAGGUCUGGAGUAGGUCAAUCAAGAAGCUCUGCUGGAAUUAAACUGACAAUUGUAGUAUGCUUGUAGUUAAAGUUUCUUAUAGUAAACAUCAUGUUGUUUAUUCGGUAGAAGUUUCAAAGAUUUUACUUUUUAGAAGAAA